GGGUCAAUUACGUCUUGUAAAUAAUUUAUUUUCUAAAGUUUUAUUAUUGUUAUAAUUACACAAAAUAUGUAAGUUACAUGUAAAUACCUGAAUAUUGUUUGAUGUUUUGUCAAUGUGGAACCAUUGUCUCAUUGUCCCUCCUACUGCAAUAAUUACUGUGACACCUGUCUUUUUAUAUGCGUUAGACACGCCCUCCAACUUCCCUUUUUGUCUACGAUAACGGGAGAGGGGCUCGACGAUGGCACAAAGUUUUGAUGACGAUUGUAUUCUGUUUUAUCAGUAAAGUGCAGUGGAGAAA